UACGGAGGGUGCAAACGUUGCUCGGAAUCAUUGGGCGUAAAGCGCACGUAGGCGGUUUGUUAAGUCGGGUGUGAAAGCCCCAGGCUCAACCUGGGAAGUGCACUCGAAACUGGCGAACUUGAAUAUGGAAGAGGGUCGCGGAAUUCCCGGUGUAGAGGUGAAAUUCGUAGAUAUCGGGAGGAACACCAGUGGCGAAGGCGGCGACCUGGGCCAAUAUUGACGCUGAGGUGCGAAAGCGUGGGGAGCAAAC
rnacentral:rRNA from 1 species